UAAACCUUAAGUUAUAUAAACUGAGAGCCUUCCAAGCUUUAAAAAAGAGUCCUUAGGUUUAA
rnacentral:tRNA from 1 species